rnacentral:tmRNA from 1 species
GGGGCUGACUUGGAUUUCGACAGAUUUCUUGUCGCACAGAUAGCAUGCCAAGCGCUGCUUGUAAAACAGCAACAAAAAUAACUGUAAACAACGCAGAUUACGCUCCAGCUUACGCUAAAGCUGCGUGAGUUAAUCUCCUUUUGGAGCUGGACUGAUUGAAAUUUCUAGCGUUUUAAUCACUCCAUAACCUUAAGCUAGACGCUUUUAAAAGGUGGUUCGCCUUUUAAACUAAGAAACAAGAACUCUUGAAACUACCUCAAGGUUUUAGAAAGUUGGACCAGAGCUAGUUUUAAGGCUAAAAAACUAACCAAUUUUCUAAGCAUUGUAGAAGUUUGUGUUUAGGACAAGAUUUUUGGACUGGGGUUCGAUUCCCCACAGCUCCACCA